rnacentral:rRNA from 1 species
AGAGUUUGAUCAUGGCUCAGAACGAACGCUGGCGGCAUGCCUAACACAUGCAAGUCGAACGCUUGGUCCCGGUUCGCCGGGGCCGAGAGUGGCGCACGGGUGAGUAGCGCGUGGGAACCUGCCCUGUUGUGGGGGAUAACCGAGGGAAACUUCGGCUAAUACCGCAUGCGCCCCGGCGAAAGCCGGGGGAAAGAUUUAUCGCAGCAGGAGGGGCCCGCGUCGGAUUAGCUAGUUGGUGGGGUAACGGCCCACCAAGGCAGUGGUCCGUAGCUGGUCUGAGAGGAUGAUCAGCCACACUGGGACUGAGACACGGCCCAGACUCCUACGGGAGGCAGCAGUGGGGAAUAUUGGACAAUGGGCGCAAGCCUGAUCCAGCAAUGCCGCGUGAGUGAUGAAGGCCUUAGGGUUGUAAAGCUCUUUCGCCCGCGACGAUGAUGACGGUAGCGGGAGAAGAAGCCCCGGCUAACUUCGUGCCAGCAGCCGCGGUAAUACGAAGGGGGCGAGCGUUGUUCGGAUUUACUGGGCGUAAAGGGCGCGUAGGCGGCGGGUCAAGUCGAGUGUGAAAGCCCCGGGCUCAACCUGGGAAUUGCGCUCGAGACUGGACUGCUUGAGUUCGGGAGAGGAGCGUGGAAUUCCCAGUGUAGAGGUGAAAUUCGUAGAUAUUGGGAAGAACACCGGUGGCGAAGGCGGCGCUCUGGACCGAGACCGACGCUGAGGCGCGAAAGCGUGGGGAGCAAACAGGAUUAGAUACCCUAGUAGUCC